AUGGCUGCAAUCAUGUUAUGCACGUGCAGCGGGGACCAAUCGAAGUUUGAAGAGAUGCCCCGAUCACCGGAAUCUCUCGCAACACGGGAUUUCUCAGCAAGUGGUUCUUGUUCGAGACCAGGAAAACGAGAAGCAACGCCUGAUGAUAGCCAAGUGAAUGAAGUGGAAUCGGACUUAAGAGAGACUCUUUCGCUAAAUUAUGAGGAGGCCCGGGCAUUGCUGGGUAGACUGGAGUAUCAGAGAGGAAACUUUGAUGCAGCAUUGCAAGUCCUUCAGGGCAUUGAUAUAAGAAGCCUCAAACCACGAAUGACCAGUGCUGUUACUGAAAGUGCCAAGCCUAAAGUUUCUCCACGUUCUUCAAGACGGAAAACCUCACAAGUGAAUGGAAUGCUAGUGCAUAUGUCAAUGCAUUCUGUAAGUUUGCUUCUGGAAGCCAUAUUGCUUAAAGCGAGAUCUUUGGAAAGACUUGGUAGAGUGACAGAUGCUGCAGAAGAAUGCAGAACCAUCAUAGAUAUUGUAGAGUCUGCAUGGCCGGAUGGUGUUCCUGAAGGUACUUCCGAAGACUGUAAGUUGAUAGACAUGUUCCACUCGGCUCUAGAAUAUCUUCCUAACCUAUGGAUGAGAAGUGGUUGUUUUGAGGAGGCCAUAACUGCAUAUCGGAGAGCUCUUGCAAGGCCCUGGAAUUUGGAUUCUCAAAGGUCCGCCAACUUACAAAAAGACUUAGCGGUGACUCUACUGUACUGUGGUAUUGAAGUGAAGUCUCCUCAAGAGUUCAGUCAGCAACGGAACUUGGCAACCCCGGAGAACAACAUCGAGGAAGCAAUUUUGCUGCUGUUUGUACUUAUCAGAAAGCUAACCUUCCAAGAAAUAAAGUGGGAUCCUGAUCUCGUGAACCAUUUGAUGUACGCACUGUCAUUGUCUGGUCAUUAUGAAGUCUUGGCCAGGCAUCUAGAGAUGUUGUUACCUGGAACCUAUAGCAGAUCAGAAAGAUGGUACGUUCUCGCGCUUUGCUACAGUGCAGCUGGCAUGGAUGAUAGUGCCUUAAAUAUCAUAAGGAAUGGUUUCCGUGUGUUAGAAAGGAAGGGGAAACCUCAUAUUCCAUCUCUUCUUCUAGGAGCCAAACUAUGUUGUAAGAACCCAAAGCAUGCUUCUGAAGGAAUAAAAUUUGCAAAUAAAGCCAGGGAGUCAUUCAGAAGUCAUGAUAUGCAUUUCAUCAGUGCUGUGAAUCAUUUCCUUGGUGUUUGUUAUGGACCUUUUGCUAGGUCAUCCACUUCUCACACAGAAAAAAUGAGAUUGCAAGAUGAUGCACUGAGGCUGUUGCAGGAUGCUGCGGCAACGGCGAAGUAUAAUCCUGAAAUACUGUACAGCCUUGCUUGGGAAAAUGCAAUGCAGCGCAAACUGAAUGCAGCCAUUGAAAGUGCAGCGGAAUGUCUCGAAAUGGUGACAGGAAGUUCAGUGAGUACCUGGAAGCUGUUGAUUCUAGUGUUAUCUGCACAGCAGAAUUUGGAAGAAGCUGAAUCAGUAGCUGAUAUUGCACUAGAUGAGGCUGAGCAAGAGGAUCAAAUGGGUAUUUUGAGGCUAAAAGCACUAAUUCAGUCCUCCCGUGGACAAUUCAAGUCUGCUGUGGAAUCUUUUAGGAUUUUGCUUGCAAUCAUUCAAGCAAAGAAGGAAAUCUGGAAAUUGACCCCUUAUGAUAAGGUUAAAUCCCUGCAUGAGUUAGAGAUGGAAGCAUGGUUAGAUUUGGCAUCAAUAUACACAAAGCUUGAAGCAUGGAAUGACUCAAACAUCUGUCUUGACAAAGCAAAAUCCAUUGAUUUCUUAUCUCCAAAGUGCUGGCAUGUCAAAGGCCUGAUACUGGAGGCCCAGUCCUUGCACCAAGAAGCCCUCGAGGCAUUCUCAUUCUCCCUCUCCAUCAAUCCAGACUAUGUCCCUAGCAUGGUUUCUAUGGCAAGCAUUCUAAGAACUCUUGGAGCGAAAUCAUCGUCAAUCGCGAGAACUUUCCUUCGCAGCGCCACCCGCUUAGAGCCAACAAACCAUCAAGCCUGGAUGGGGCUCGGACUCGUCCUGAAAUCUGAAGGAUCGGUGCUUGAGGCCGCUGACUGCUUCCAGGCAGCUUACGAGCUCCUAGAGUUGUCACCUAUUCAGGAUUUCUCCGAGCAACUGCCCAUCUUGCUGCAGUAG
rnacentral:rRNA from 1 species